rnacentral:misc_RNA from 1 species
GAUGAAGAACGUAGUGAAAUGCGAUACUUGGUGUGAAUUGCAGAAUCCCGUGAACCAUCGAGUCUUUGAACGCAAGUUGCGCCCGAAGCCAUUAGGCCGAGGGCACGCCUGCCUGGGCGUCACACGUCGUUGCCCCCCCAUCUACUCCUUCGGGAUUGCGGGGGGCGGAUGAUGGCCUCCCGUGCGCCUCGCCGCGCGGUUGGCAUAAAUGCCAAGUCCUCGGCGACGCACGCCACGACAAUCGGUGGUUGCGAAACCUCGGUUGCCCGUCGUGUGCGGUCGUCGCGCAUCGAGGGCUCGAAAAAAUUGCCGGGUUCAGGCUCGGCUUUCAACGCGACCCCAGGUCAGGCGGGGUUACCCGCUGAAUUUAAGCAUAUCAAUAAGCGGAGGA